UACAGAGGCCUCGAGCGUUAGGCGGAAUCACUGGGCUUAAAGCGUGUGUAGGCGGACUUCUAAGUCCCUUGUGAAAUCCCACGGCUUACCCGUGGAACGGCUGGGUAUACUGGGAGUCUUGAGCCACCUAGGGGCGAGUGGAACAAAUGGUGGAGCGGUGAAAUGCGUAGAUAUCAUUUGGAACGCCAACGGUGAAAACAGCUGGCUGGGGGUGUGCUGACGCUGAGACACGAAAGCCAGGGGAGCGAACGGG
rnacentral:rRNA from 1 species